rnacentral:tRNA from 1 species
GGUGGUUCAGUGGUAGAGUGCUUGCCUUGCAUGCAUGAAGCCCUGGGUUCAAAUCCUCAGCACCA